rnacentral:rRNA from 1 species
AUGGCAGCCUCUGGGAGGGUUGUUCUGGUCAAGGCGGUUCUCACCGCCAUAGCUAUCUACAGCAUUACUUCGCCGAUCCUGCCAGCGGAGGUGAUGAAGCGCAUUGAUGCCUUACGACGUGCAUUCUUUUGGGCCGGUUGCGACAAAGUCACUGGUGGCAAGUGUAAAAUCAAUUGGGAUAGAGUUUGCAGUCCUAAAGCUAUGGGCGGUCUGGGUGUCCUAAGCCUUGACAAAUUUGCCACUGCCCUCCGCUUGAGGUGGCUUUGGAACGAGUGGGCGGAGCAGCCAAAGCCGUGGGUUGGGUUAGGCACCCCUUGCACCGAGACUGACAGGGACCUUUUCACGGCAGCAACGAGGGUCAUGGUUGGAAACGGAGACAAGGCUUGCUUCUGGACGUCCCCCUGGCUUGAUGGUCUCAGGCCGAUGGACAUCGCCCCUAAAAUCUUUGAGAUCCCCCAAAAGAAAGAUUGUUCUGUCAGGAAGGCCCUCACUGAUGAUCUAUGGAUUUCGCAAGUUGACAUGGCAAAUGGCAUUUCCGCCGGGCACAUACAGGAGUUUACCAUCCUUUGGGAGAAGUUGGAUGGGAUAACCUUAGAUCAAGCCACGAAUGACACGAUCAUUUGGAAACUUACAGAGCGCGGUAUCUACUCCACUUCAUCAGCCUAUUCGCUACAGUUCGAGGGGCGCACCUCCACACCACUUCUAAAGACCGUUUGGAAAGUCUGGGCUACACCAAAAUGCAAGUUCUUCGCUUGGUUGAUCAUUCACAACAGAGUGUGGACGGCAGAUAGGCUACAACGGAGAGGGUGGCCAAACUGCGGUUUGUGUCCCCUUUGUAGCCAAGUCCAGGAGUCAGCGGCGCAUCUCCUAUUCCAAUGCUGA